CUCGAAGAUACUCAAAGCUCAUAUAUUUGAUAAUUUGCCAGAGAAAUAAUAAGAAAUAUCUGAUCUAUGUAAUAUUUAUUUUAUUAGAAAAUGGUUCGAUUCAAGAAUCAAUAUAAGUGGAUAUUGAAUGAUAAUCGAUGAAGCUAUCAGCAGGUACUCGAUAUUCAUCGUGAAGCGUGUUCAUGACACGAAAAGUGGGCGGCAAUUAUAUUUCACUGACGAAACUGCGUGUAGCUUAUGAUGAUUCGCUAUUUAAAGCGGUGAUAUUUUUGCAGCGUGGUUUCAAGGAGCGGUCAACUACUAUAUUCAAUAUUGAUGGUUUUCUAUUUUUGCAGUUCGAAUUGUUGGUGUUAUUCAAGUAUGUGUUUGCUCGUCACGUUUUCGACAGGGUUACUGAACUUUUUAAAACUUUCUUUCCAAGAAUUUGUUAAUUGAUAAUCAAUCAGAAAAAGGAUUUGUAAUUUGAAAGUUUGUUAAUUGAUGAUCAAAGAAAAGAUAAGAAGAGAUAAUUUUUUUUUUUUAAAAAUUAUGAAACAGAAGAUUUUAUUUUUAAAGGAAUUAAAUAUUGAAUCUUGGACAAUGAUUGACAGUGUUAAAAUUCAUUUCCUCAUUCAUUAGUAGAUAGAAAAUGUUGCAAUUCAUACAAUUUAUCAAAUGGAACCAUGUUAAGCUUCGUUUGUAAAAAUUUGUAAAUUUUCACGGUCGAGAUUUCACUUUCAUGAAAUUAUUUUCACGAAAAUUGCCAUCAUACCACCAACCGUGAACCCGGUUCGAUUCUCGACUAAUUUUAACAUUGAAUCAGACGAGUGACGUCAUUGUUAUCACGACUGAGAUCGUAAUUCAGCUGGUCGACUUUCUCGGAAAACGCGUCGAUCGUUUCCACGAUGAGAAGUUUGGAUGAUAAACGAAAUUCCAGCGAUGAACCAACCAAGAAAAAUGAUAAACAAUGAAGGUUCAAAUGAUUCGACGAAUAUAUGGUUCCAGUUUUUACAACUUACAAAUAACUUACAGGAAUUAAUGAAUGUGAUAAGACUAAGAAAGUAAAUAUGCAUUUUGCAAAAAUGAUUUCAAAUUAUUCAAAUAUUAUUUAAAUUUUGCAAAUUUAAAUAUUUUGGAAAUUUUUAGAACGCUUACAAAACGAACAAACAAAAUAUAUAAUUCAUUUCAAUGACAACUUAUGCAUUGUGCGAAUCAUCUGAACUAUAAAACCAUUUGCACAAAG